rnacentral:sRNA from 1 species
AGGCCGCUGGGGGCGCCAGAGAGGCGCAGAGUGCGCGGGGCCGGGGAGAGCGCGGAGUCCAGCAGGCUGAGAGCAGAGCCUGAGUGCGCGGCUGGUUCAGUGGGGCAGGGUCACCUCGCAAGGAUGCUGCACCCCGCCGCCCUGUCCAGCCAGCAACCCGGAGACUGGUGCAACUCCGGAAAGAAGCAAAGGUUCUUUCGCCCAGUCGCCGCUGGAGGACCGAAAGUUUUGCUCGCUGCAAAUCCCUUCCUCCCAAAGUCCCAGUCACCCACCGCGCGACGUCCUGGAAGGAUCCCGGAGGUUUAGUGGGGACGAAAUCGGCUGGUUCGCACCCCUCCAUCCUUAUCUCUCAGGACAGAGCGGGAGCUCUAGCGAGUACACCUCCCACCUACCAUCCGCUUCACCCUGUCUCAUUUCUCGGUGAGCCUUGGAACCCGAUCGCUUAGCAGAUGCCUUCAGGAAGCAGAAGCAAAGGGGAAAUGGACUUAACUCCAAGAAUCAGAUAGUGAAUGUCCACCCUCAGCAAAGGCUUUGCCGCUGUGACCUUCUUUGAUCUCACCCCACCACUACAACGAGGGAGGCCUAAACCUUGUCCACUGGCAGCAUUUGAAGAUCCAGUUGCUGCUAUGGGUUGGAAGGCACCUGUGGAGUGAAAGAGGACAUAGCCACGUAAGUACAGCAUCUUAUUGCUGCCUGGUUAUUUGUAAGCCAUCGUUUUCCUACUCCAAAUCAAGGGCUUCCUGGGGCUUAGGCACAACACUACAGACAGCCCUUAUCCCCAGUUCAUGGAUGAUGAAAUCGAGCCCCUCAGAGACGCUCCUUCCCAUUGUCUCCCCCAGUUCCCUAGACAUCAAACGCCCAGCCAGCGCUCUUUCCGCCAUUCACGUCACAGGCAUUAUAGAUUUCUUACAACAACCUGCCUGGAAAAUGGCUGUGCGGUGGCAUCAGGAAUGUGCAGGCUCUCUAAGGCUCACAGUGGAUUAGACAGACCAGAGAGGGGACGGUGUCACUGAUGACUAUGCAUGAGUCACCAACUCCACUGAGAGUUUUACACUUUGUGAGAACAGGAGUCACUCACCCUGUGACCACACAGAGAGACUGCUCUGUGCAGUACAGAGCGGUCUCCAAGAGCGUGUUUAAGUUGGCCAUUUCCCAAGAACUCUCUCAUACUGGAGAGAUACAAUGCUUUGGGUCACGGAAUAAUAAGAUGGCCUUGGUUCUAAUGUUGCUUGAUUCACCCUACACUGGACUAGGAGGAGACACUGACAUACAUCAGCUUAAUAAAUCUGACACUGAGGAGGGGCAGUGUGUGUGGUUUCAAUUACAGAUUGACCCAGGAUUGAUUGAACUGUCUGCUCUGCUCUGGCAGGGAUGGAGUCCAAGGAUUGGCUGGACUCUUGUGAGAGUGUGACCACACCCACAUGUUUAGCCUUGUGUGAAAUUUCAGCAUGCAGGAGACUGAGACAUAAGGAUCACAAGUUCAAGGCCACCCUGUGCUAUGUGUCAAGACCUUGUUUUAAACAAAGGAAAAGGGAAGGAAAAAAAAACAGCAGUACAUAUUUUUCCUAAAUGUAGGACUCUUGGCUCUUCCAGGACCAUGUCUGCCUGCACCCUGCCAUGCUUCCUGCCCUGAUGAUAAUGGACUGAACUUCCGCAACUUGCUGGGGAUUGAACCCACGGCCCCCGCACAUUCCAGGCAAAUGCUCUGCCACCUGGCUACAACUCCAGCUCUUUCUACACUUUUACAGAGUCUUACUAAGUUGCUCAGGGUGACCUUGCACUUGGGAGGCCCAAGCAGGACUUCAGACUAUCAUUCUCCUGCCUUAGCCUCUCCAAGGGCUGGGAUUACAGGUGUGUACCACUAAGUCUGGAGGACUGGGUGAGACCAAGACAGGAUUGCUCUGUGUAGUCCAGGCUGUCCUCAAACUCAGAGAUCUACCUGCCUCUGCCUCCGGAGUGCUGGAGUGCACCACCACCACCUGGCCCAGUUAUAGACUUUUUUUUAAAAAGACCAAAUUUUUAACAAAAGUAAGGUGUGGAAUUGUUAGAAUCUUGUCUGGUACUUUCAAACGCCAGAGCUCCAUUUUCAAAUGUCACAGCCUGGGCAUCAUGGCUAGGUGAGGCUUAGCUUUUGUUCCUAUUUCUAUAAGUCAGUGAAUCUCUCUGAAGGCAUUUGGUCACUUUGCAAGCACACAGAGAAGGCACAUUGUAUACAUUCUGUCUCUCCACUGAAAAGCUGUGUUCUUCCAUUAGGGAGGGCCAGCAAGGAAGCUGGAAAGGGACUUGUCUAGGUUUUAUACAGAGCGAAUCAUGUUGUCCCUUUGAUGCGCUUCAUAGAGGCUAUCAUAUACACUCAAAACAAAAUCCCCACUGGCAAUAACACAUCACAGAUAGCCUCAGCUUACUGUGGCUCUUCAAGCCAGUGGCAUGGCUUCUCUGGGUUCACGUGGCAGAGCAGAGGAGGAUAGGUGGCCCAAUUGCAUGCCCAGUUCCAGACAGGAGUGAUAAGAUUCAAACUUGCUCUGGACUCUGGGGUAAACCAAGUAUGGGCCUCUAAGACCUUGUCUUUGCUCUCAGAGUUUGACAUGAUAAUCCUGCUUGCUCUUUGGACCUCCCUGGCUACAAUAGGCACAGAGAAAGAAGAGAACCCUCCUCCACCUACAAAUCCCCGUAGUAUCCCAUUCUAUCAGCCCCCUUGUUCCUGCAUGGGGAGGGAGUGGAGACCUCAGCUACCAAGCAGAACAGGUAUAAAACCCAGGCCAUUCAGAUCUGGGCAGAGUGAUCCUAGGGAAGGGGCAGAGACUGCAAGUCUGAGAUGCAAAAUACCUGUCCUAGCCUCAGGGAACCCCAAGACUAGGACCAGGGACCAGGAUACUCUGGACAUGGCUGGAUGAGGGAUUAUGGGGGCAAGGGAGGAGCUUAAGACUCACUUUUCUUUUUCUGCUAGCAGGGAGCCAGGUUCUGUAGCAACUGUGGAUAUAGCCAGGACAGAAGGACUUCCUAUGCUCUGGCCCAAUCUCCUUUGAAAGAAAUAGGCUAAUGUCAGUUCUCUACCCAACCCACCCAGCCCACCAACCUACCCCCUCACCUCACCCUGUCCUCCUAUUUGAAAUUAUGGACGAGGAGGGAGUCAUCACACUGCAGCCCAGCCUGCUCUGACUCCCAGACAACAAGAGUGAACUUCAUGUUCUGCAGCGGGGGGGAUAACCCUAAAAGCUGACCCUGGGAGGUGCCCGGCAGCAUGUGGAGUGGCAGCCUCUAAUGAGGAGCUUUCUGUGGUUUCUGAGGGGGUAGAGAAUAGGAAGCCACUUACAUGGAAGGAACUGGAGCCCUGACAUUUUUUUCUCUUUGAGGUUGGAGCUGGGAGGGAAGGCAGAUAGCAGCACCUGCCAUCCACACUCAGUCACAAAGCAUUCGCUGAGCUCUUCUUUAAGGCUGACCCUGCCAGAGGGGAAAUCAGAAGUUCAAAACACAUGUCUCCACCCUGCAAAGGGGUUUCCAGAGCUGCUAGACAUCUCUGGUGGCCUGAAGACAUCAGGCGCAAUCCAUUAACCCUGUGAAUGUUGACUGUUGCGGUUGCACAGCAAAGCCUUUGCAGAGAUGAUCAACUAUGGGUCCCCCGGGUUGGCUCCUGAGACAGUAAAUGUUAUCCUGUGUUACAACAGAAGAGAAAGACUGAGGGGGAUUUUAUAAUGGCACAUGCACAAGGCCAGGGUGAUGAAAAAAUGGUGUACAAAAAGACUUGAAGUUGUGUGUGAGGAGGAGGCAGCCACAAGCACAGAAGCACUGACCGGCAGAAGCAUCUGCAGGGGCAAGGACCGGCUUCUUGUAUACAAACUGUACUGGGCAUGUGGCCUUGAAUUUGGCCUAGUUAAAAGAAAAUUGUUAGACUUCUGACUUCCCAGAACUGUUAGAGAGUAAGUCUAAGUUGCUUUAUGCCUCCAGAUCUGUGAUAAUUUGUUAUAGUAGCCCCAGGGCUAUCCUUGCAGAUGAAGUAGAAGCCUUGGUCUAAAGCCACUUCGGGUAAGUAGAGUUACAUUCACUCUCUUGGGAAUAUAUAUUGAGUGACCCUAAUGGUCCAGACAUAGGAGCUGUGAACAAAGAAAUGGCAUCCUUGAUGACACUGGGAUGGGAGUCAGAAGCAGGUAAUACAUAGAAAGUGUCUUAGUCACUGAUCUAUUCCUGUGAAAAGACACUGUGACCAAGGAAACUCUUAUAACGGAAAGCAUUUAAUUAAGAUCUGGCUUACAGUUAGUCCAUUGUCAUC